UACCCGAAUGGGGAAACCCAGUGUGACUCGUCACACUAUCAUUAACUGAAUCCAUAGGUUAAUGAGGCGAACCGGGGGAACUGAAACAUCUAAGUACCCCGAGGAAAAGAAAUCAACCGAGAUUCCCCCAGUAGCGGCGAGCGAACGGGGAGGAGCCCAGAGCCUGAAUCAGCAUGUGUGUUAGUGGAAGCGUCUGGAAAGGCGCGCGAUACAGGGUGACAGCCCCGUACACAAAAGCGCAUGUGCUGUGAGCUCGAUGAGUAGGGCGGGACACGUGGUAUCCUGUCUGAAUAUGGGGGGACCAUCCUCCAAGGCUAAAUACUCCUGACUGACCGAUAGUGAACCAGUACCGUGAGGGAAAGGCGAAAAGAACCCCGGCGAGGGGAGUGAAAAAGAACCUGAAACCGUGUACGUACAAGCAGUGGGAGCCCCACCACCAAAGCAUUUGCUGUACCGCGUUGACGGAGCGAAGCGACGUCAAACCGAUAAAACAGCAGUGUAAAGUGAGCCGCAGGGCGCUUUGCGCGACAGCGCAAAGGCAGGCGGUUUCGCGUAGCGAAAGCGAAUGCUUUGGGGUGGGGUGACUGCGUACCUUUUGUAUAAUGGGUCAGCGACUUAUAUUCUGUAGCAAGGUUAACCGAAUAGGGGAGCCGGAGGGAAACCGAGUCUUAAUUGGGCGUUAAGUUGCAGGGUAUAGACCCGAAACCCGGUGAUCUAGCCAUGGGCAGGUUGAAGGUUGGGUAACACUAACUGGAGGACCGAACCGACUAAUGUUGAAAAAUUAGCGGAUGACCUGUGGCUGGGGGUGAAAGGCCAAUCAAACCGGGAGAUAGCUGGUUCUCCCCGAAAGCUAUUUAGGUAGCGCCUCGUGAAUUCAUCUCCGGGGGUAGAGCACUGUUUCGGCUAGGGGGCCAUCCCGGCUUACCAACCCGAUGCAAACUGCGAAUACCGGAGAAUGUUAUCACGGGAGACACACGGCGGGUGCUAACGUCCGUCGUGAAGAGGGAAACAACCCAGACCGCCAGCUAAGGUCCCAAAGUCAUGGUUAAGUGGGAAACGAUGUGGGAAGGCCCAGACAGCCAGGAUGUUGGCUUAGAAGCAGCCAUCAUUUAAAGAAAGCGUAAUAGCUCACUGGUCGAGUCGGCCUGCGCGGAAGAUGUAACGGGGCUAAACCAUGCACCGAAGCUGCGGCAGCGACACUGUGUGUUGUUGGGUA
rnacentral:rRNA from 1 species